rnacentral:rRNA from 1 species
GACGAACGCUGGCGGCGUGCCUAAUACAUGCAAGUAGAACGCACAGUUUAUACCGUAGCUUGCUACACCAUAGACUGUGAGUUGCGAACGGGUGAGUAACGCGUAGGUAACCUGCCUGGUAGCGGGGGAUAACUAUUGGAAACGAUAGCUAAUACCGCAUAAUAUUGAUUAUUGCAUGAUAAUUGAUUGAAAGAUGCUAUUGCAUCACUACCAGAUGGACCUGCGUUGUAUUAGCUAGUAGGUGAGGUAACGGCUCACCUAGGCGACGAUACAUAGCCGACCUGAGAGGGUGAUCGGCCACACUGAGACUGAGACACGGCCCAGACUCCUACGGGAGGCAGCAGUAGGGAAUCUGCGGCAAUGGACGAAAGUCUGACCGAGCAACGCCGCGUGAGUGAAGAAGGUUUUCGGAUCGUAAAGCUCUGUUGUAAGAGAAGAACGGGUGUGAGAGUGGAAAGUUCACACUGUGACGGUAUCUUACCAGAAAGGGACGGCUAACUACGUG